GACGAACGCUGGCGGCGUGCUUAACACAUGCAAGUCGAACGAUGAAGCCGGAGCUUGCUCUGGUGAAUUAGUGGCGAACGGGUGAGCAACACGUGAGUAACCUGCCCUUGACUCUGGGAUAACUGCGGGAAACUGUAGCUAAUACCGGAUACGACCCUCGGAGGCAUCUCCUGGGGGUGGAAAGAAUUUCGGUCAAGGAUGGACUCGCGGCCUAUCAGCUAGUUGGUGAGGUAAAGGCUCACCAAGGCGACGACGGGUAGCCGGCCUGAGAGGGUGAACGGCCACACUGGGACUGAGACACGGCCCAGACUCCUACGGGAGGCAGCAGUGGGGAAUAUUGCACAAUGGGCGCAAGCCUGAUGCAGCAACGCCGCGUGAGGGAUGACGGCCUUCGGGUUGUAAACCUCUUUUAGCAGGGAAGAAGCGAAAGUGACGGUACCUGCAGAAAAAGCACCGGCUAACUACGUGCCAGCAGCCGCCGUAA
rnacentral:rRNA from 1 species